CCCUUAGAUGUUCUGGGCCGCACGCGGGCUACACUGACGAAGUCAGCGAGCAUGUCCUACGCCGACAGGUGCGGGGAAUCUUGUCAAACUUCGUCGUGAUGGGGAUUGAUUAUUGAAAUUCUUGAUCAUCAACGAGGAAUUCCUAGUAAGCGCAAGUCAGCAGCUUGCGUUGAUUACGUCCCUGCCCUUUGUACACACCGCCCGUCGCUACUACCGAUUGAAUGGUUUAGUGAGAUCUUCGGAUUGGCGCCACUGCGGCUCAGCAAUGGGCUCGGUGGAUGCCGAAAAGUUGAUCAAACUUGAUCAUUUAGAGGAAGUAAAAGUCGUAACA
rnacentral:rRNA from 1 species